rnacentral:rRNA from 1 species
AGUAACGCGUGGGAACAUACCCUUUUCUACGGAAUAGCCUCGGGAAACUGAGAGUAAUACCGUAUAAGCCCUUCGGGGGAAAGAUUUAUCGGGAAAGGAUUGGCCCGCGUUAGAUUAGAUAGUUGGUGGGGUAAUGGCCUACCAAGUCUACGAUCUAUAGCUGGUUUUAGAGGAUGAUCAGCAACACUGGGACUGAGACACGGCCCAGACUCCUACGGGAGGCAGCAGUGGGGAAUCUUAGACAAUGGGCGCAAGCCUGAUCUAGCCAUGCCGCGUGUGUGAUGAAGGUCUUAGGAUCGUAAAGCACUUUCGCCAGGGAUGAUAAUGACAGUACCUGGUAAAGAAACCCCGGCUAACUCCGUGCCAGCAGCCGCGGUAAUACGGAGGGGGUUAGCGUUGUUCGGAAUUACUGGGCGUAAAGCGUACGUAGGCGGAUUGGAA